GACGAACGCUGGCGGCGUGCUUAACACAUGCAAGUCGAACGGAAAGGCCCUGCUUUUGUGGGGUGCUCGAGUGGCGAACGGGUGAGUAACACGUGAGUAACCUGCCCUUGACUUUGGGAUAACUUCAGGAAACUGGGGCUAAUACCGGAUAGGAGCUCCUGCUGCAUGGUGGGGGUUGGAAAGUUUCGGCGGUUGGGGAUGGACUCGCGGCUUAUCAGCUUGUUGGUGGGGUAGUGGCUUACCAAGGCUUUGACGGGUAGCCGGCCUGAGAGGGUGACCGGACACAUUGGGACUGAGAUACGGCCCAGACUCCUACGGGAGGCAGCAGUGGGGAAUAGUGCACAAUGGGCGGAAGCAUGAUGCAGCAACGCCGCGUGCGGGAUGACGGCCGUCGGGUUGUAAACCGCUUUCGCCUGUGACGAAGCGUGAGGGACGGUAAUGGGUAAAGAAGCACCGGCUAACUACGUG
rnacentral:rRNA from 1 species